UACGAAGGGUGCAAGCGUUAUUCGGAAUCACUGGGCGUAAAGCGUGCGUAGGUGGUUUGUUAAGUCUGAUGUGAAAGCCCUGGGCUCAACCUGGGAAUUGCAUUGGAUACUGGCAGGCUAGAGUGCGGUAGAGGGUAGUGGAAUUCCCGGUGUAGCAGUGAAAUGCGUAGAGAUCGGGAGGAACACCAGUGGCGAAGGCGACUACCUGGACCAGCACUGACGCUGAGGCACGAAAGCGUGGGGAGCAAACAGG
rnacentral:rRNA from 1 species